rnacentral:tRNA from 1 species
GCGUCCCUGGUGUAAUUGGCAGCACGGCUGGUUCCAACCCAGUUGGUCAGGGUUCAAGUCCUUGGGGGCGUG